UACGAAGGGGGCUAGCGUUGCUCGGAAUGACUGGGCGUAAAGGGCUCGUAGGCGGUCUGUCGCGUCGGGAGUGAAAACUCAGGGCUUAACCCUGAGCCUGCUUCCGAUACGGGCAGACUAGAGGUAUGCAGGGGAGAACGGAAUUCCUGGUGUAGCGGUGAAAUGCGCAGAUAUCAGGAGGAACACCGGUGGCGAAGGCGGGUCUCUGGGCCGAAAUUGACGCUGAGGAGCGAAAGCGUGGGGAGCGAACAGG
rnacentral:rRNA from 1 species